GACGUAGGAUGCGAGCGUUGUCCGGAAUUAUUGGGCGUAAAGCGUACGUAGGCGGCUUGUUAAGUCGGGAGUUAAAGACCGGGGCUCAACCCCGGGAGUGCUCUGGAAACUGGCAAGCUGGAGGACGGCAGAGGAAAGUGGAAUUCCCAGUGUAGCGGUGAAAUGCGUAGAUAUUGGGAGGAACACCAGUGGCGAAAGCGACUUUCUGGGCCGUUUCUGACGCUGAGGUACGAAAGCCAGGGGAGCAAACGGG
rnacentral:rRNA from 1 species